rnacentral:rRNA from 1 species
GGGUGAGUAAUGUCUGGGAAACUGCCUGAUGGAGGGGGAUAACUACUGGAAACGGUAGCUAAUACCGCAUAAUGUCGCAAGACCAAAGAGGGGGACCUUCGGGCCUCUUGCCAUCGGAUGUGCCCAGGUGGGAUUAGCUAGUAGGUGGGGUAACGGCUCACCUAGGCGACGAUCCCUAGCUGGUCUGAGAGGAUGACCAGCCACACUGGAACUGAGACACGGUCCAGACUCCUACGGGAGGCAGCAGUGGGGAAU